rnacentral:rRNA from 2 species
GGACUACCCGGGUAUCUAAUCCCGUUUGCUCCCCUGGCUUUCGCGCCUCAGCGUCAGUAGAGGUCCAGCGCGCCGCUUUCGCCACCGGUGUUCCUUCUGAUAUCUACGCAUUUCACCGCUCCACCAAAAGUUCCGCACGCCCCUACCUCCCUCGAGACGGCCAGUAUCAGGGGCACUUCCACGGUUGAGCCGCGGGAUUUCACCUCUGACUUGACCGCCCGCCUACGCGCCCUUUAAGCCCAGUGAUUCCGAACAACGUUUGCACGGUUCGUCUUACCGCGGCUGCUGGCAC